AACGAACGCUGGCGGCAUGCCUAACACAUGCAAGUCGAACGAGACCUUCGGGUCUAGUGGCGCACGGGUGCGUAACGCGUGGGGACCUGCCAUUAGGUGCGGAAUAACUCCCCGAAAGGGGUGCUAAUACCGGAUAAUGUCUUCGGACCAAAGAUUUAUCGCCUUUGGAUGGUCCCGCGAUGGAUUAGCUAGUUGGUAGGGUAAAAGCCUACCAAGGCGACGAUCCAUAGCUGGUCUGAGAGGAUGAUCAGCCACACUGGGACUGAGACACGGCGCAGACUCCUACGGGAGGCAGCAGUGGGGAAUAUUGGACAAUGGACGAAGGCCUGAUACAGCAAUGCCGCGUGAGUGAUGAAGGCCUUAGGGUUGUAAAGCUCUUUUACCCGGGAUGAUAAUGACAGUACCGAGAGAAUAAGCUCCGGCUAACUCCGUG
rnacentral:rRNA from 1 species